UACAGAGGUCCCAAGCGUUGUCCGGAAUCAUUGGGCGUAAAGCGCGCGUAGGUGGCCCGGUAAGUCCGCUCUGAAAGUCAAAGGCUCAACCUUUGAAAGCGGGUGGAUACUGCCAGGCUAGAGUCCGGAAGAGGCGAGUGGAAUUCCUGGUGUAGCGGUGGAAUGCGCAGAUAUCUAUCGGAAUGCCGAAAGUGAAGACAGCCGGCUGGGGUUUUCCUGACGCUGAGGCACGAAAGCGUGGGGAGCAAACCGG
rnacentral:rRNA from 1 species